CAGCUAUUCUCACAAGAUUACUGCAAUAAUCUGUUAAUUACUUCAGUUCUGCAAUAAUCUCUGCUAAUUACUAAAUACUGUAGAAUAUAAUCCCUUUGGUCAGAGAAACUUGACUUUAAUACAAUUUAAGUUUUGUCUUAUCACAUCCUUGCCUUCCCUAAACAGCAGCUUCCUCAUUCUUCUAUAACAAUGCCCAGCUAAAUUGAUUGGCCUUCACAGAAUAGAUACAAAAUCAUUAUCUAUGGUCACUUCACCACCUCUUUCAUCACUGACUUAAACUUUGGCUUUCUUUU